GAUGAACGCUGGCGGCGUGCCUAAUACAUGCAAGUCGAGCGAACAGACGAGGAGCUUGCUCCUCUGACGUUAGCGGCGGACGGGUGAGUAACACGUGGAUAACCUACCUAUAAGACUGGGAUAACUUCGGGAAACCGGAGCUAAUACCGGAUAAUAUAUUGAACCGCAUGGUUCAAUAGUGAAAGACGGUUUUGCUGUCACUUAUAGAUGGAUCCGCGCCGCAUUAGCUAGUUGGUAAGGUAACAGCUUACCAAGGCAACGAUGCGUAGCCGACCUGAGAGGGUGAUCGGCCACACUGGAACUGAGACACGGUCCAGACUCCUACGGGAGGCAGCAGUAGGGAAUCUUCCGCAAUGGGCGAAAGCCUGACGGAGCAAGGCCGCGUGAGUGAUGAAGGUCUUCGGAUCGUAAAACUCUGUUAUUAGGGAAGAACAAAUGUGUAAGUAACUAUGCACGUCUUGACGGUACCUAAUCAGAAAGCCACGGCUAACUACGUG
rnacentral:rRNA from 1 species